rnacentral:rRNA from 1 species
UACGUAGGGGGCAAGCGUUGUCCGGAUUUAUUGGGCGUAAAGCGCGCGCAGGUGGUUUCUUAAGUCUGAUGUGAAAGCCCGCGGCUCAACCGUGGAGGGUCAUUGGAAACUGGGAGACUUGAGUGCAGAAGAGGAAAGUGGAAUUCCAUGUGUAGCGGUGAAAUGCGUAGAGAUAUGGAGGAACACCAGUGGCGAAGGCGACUUUCUGGUCUGUAACUGACACUGAGGCGCGAAAGCGUGGGGAGCAAACAGG